rnacentral:rRNA from 1 species
GCAGUAGCCGCGGGAACACGAAGGGUGCAAGCGUUACUCGGAAUUACUGGGCGUAAAGCGUGCGUAGGUGGUGGUUUAAGUCCGUUGUGAAAGCCCUGGGCUCAACCUGGGAAUUGCAGUGGAUACUGGGUCACUAGAGUGUGGUAGAGGAUAGUGGAAUUUCCGGUGUAGCAGUGAAAUGCGUAGAGAUCGGAAGGAACAUCUGUGGCGAAGGCGACUAUCUGGGCCAACACUGACACUGAGGCACGAAAGCGUGGGGAGCAAACAGGAUUAGAUACCCCGGUAGUCCCUGUCUCUUAUAC